UUGCACUACCGGUUCCUGUCUGAUCACCGAAGUUAUGCAACGUUGAACCUGGACAGAACUUAGAUGGGUGACCGCUGGCGAAUACCAGGAGAUGUAAG